GAAUACCCGCUGAACUUAAGCAUAUCAAUAAGCGGAGGAAAAGAAACCAACAGGGAUUGCCCCAGUAACGGCGAGUGAAGCGGCAACAGCUCAAAUUUGAAAUCUGGCCUCGGCCCGAGUUGUAAUUUGUAGAGGAAGCUUCUGGUGCGGUCUGUUCCGAGUCCCCUGGAACGGGGCGCCAUAGAGGGUGAGAGCCCCGUACGGACGGAUACCAAUCCUGUGUGAAGCUCCUUCGACGAGUCGAGUAGUUUGGGAAUGCUGCUCAAAAUGGGAGGUAAAUUCCUUCUAAAGCUAAAUACCGGCCAGAGACCGAUAGCGCACAAGUAGAGUGAUCGAAAGAUGAAAAGCACUUUGAAAAGAGGGUUAAACAGCACGUGAAAUUGUUGAAAGGGAAGCGCUUGUGACCAGACUUGCGCCAGGCUGAUCAUCCGGUGUUCUCACCGGUGCACUCUGCCUGGCUCAGGCCAGCAUCGGUUUCCGCGGGGGGAUAAAGGUCCCGGGAAUGUAGCUCCUCCGGGAGUGUUAUAGCCCGGGGCGCAAUGCCCUCGUGGGGACCGAGGUUCGCGCAUCUGCAAGGAUGCUGGCGUAAUGGUCAUCAGCGACCCGUCUUGAAACACGGACCAAGGAGUCAAGGUUUUGCGCGAGUGUUUGGGUGUUAAACCCGCACGCGUAAUGAAAGUGAACGUAGGUGAGAGCUUCGGCGCAUCAUCGACCGAUCCUGAUGUAUUCGGAUGGAUUUGAGUAGGAGCGUUAAGCCUUGGACCCGAAAGAUGGUGAACUAUGCUUGGAUAGGGUGAAGCCAGAGGAAACUCUGGUGGAGGCUCGCAGCGGUUCUGACGUGCAAAUCGAUCGUCAAAUCUGAGCAUGGGGGCGAAAGACUAAUCGAACCAUCUAGUAGCUGGUUACCGCCGAAGUUUCCCUCAGGAUAGCAGUGUUGUUCUUCAGUUUUAUGAGGUAAAGCGAAUGAUUAGGGACUCGGGGGCGCUUUAUAGCCUUCAUCCAUUCUCAAACUUUAAAUAUGUAAGAAGCCCUUGUUACUUAAUUGAACGUGGGCAUUCGAAUGUACCAACACUAGUGGGCCAUUUUUGGUAAGCAGAACUGGCGAUGC
rnacentral:rRNA from 1 species